UCGCAACGAUGAAGAACGCAGCGAAAUGCGAUACGUAGUGUGAAUUGCAGAAUUCCGCGAAUCAUCGAGUCUUUGAACGCAAGUUGCGCCCGAGGCUCGUCCGAGGGCAUUCCUGCCUGAGCGUCAU
rnacentral:rRNA from 1 species